rnacentral:tRNA from 1 species
GGGGGCAUAGCUCAGGGGUAGAGCGCUCCGUUCGCAUCGGAGAGGUCUGGGGUUCACUUGUUUCUUUCAUCGGAAGUAAAAGUUCGAAUCUUUUCUCCUCA